rnacentral:lncRNA from 1 species
ACACCUCAAUCAAACUCAGACCCAUUUGAAGUGAACCAAAGUUUUUUUUUGCCUUUGUCAUUUAAGGUUGCAAAUGCAGUCGACAGACAAUUUAUCCAUAUGAUAAAAUAUUGGAAAGACGGAUGAUUGGGGGGAAGGCAGCAGAGGUGAAAGUGUGUUGGCUACCUUGCUCUUCCUGUGGCAGAGUCUGGGAGGACACCUGGGAGCCGGCCAGCAAAUUCGCCUGAUGACUAAUACUGUUUUACUAUUUGUUUUAUAUAUAUUUCUCAAUAAUUAAAUUCACUAUUGUUACAUUUUAUGAUUUGUCUGUCAAUCA